rnacentral:rRNA from 1 species
ACGGCNCAAUACCGCGUGUAGGGAAGAAGGCCUUUUGGUUGGAAACCUCCUUUUCAAGGAAAAAAGUACUGACGGUACCUGAGGAAUAAGCAUCGGCUAACUCCGUGCCAGCAGCCGCGGUAAUACGGAGGAGGCAAGCGUUAUCCGGAAUAAUUGGGCGUAAAGCGUCCGCAGGUGGUUAAUCAAGUCCAGUGUCAAAGAGCAGAGCUUAACUCUGUAAAGGCGGUGGAAACUGAGGAGCUAGAGGGUGGUAGGGGUAGAGGGAAUUCCCAGUGUAGCGGUGAAAUGCGUAGAKAUCGGGAAGAACACCAGUGGCGAAAGCGCUCUACUGGGCCACCACUGACACUCAGGGUCCCUAAGCUAGGGGAGCG